rnacentral:rRNA from 1 species
GAUGAACGCUAGCGGCAGGCUUAACACAUGCAAGUCGAGGGGUAUUUAUCUUCGGAUAGAGAGACCGGCGCACGGGUGCGUAACGCGUAUGCAAUCUACCUUUUACAGAGGGAUAGCCCAGAGAAAUUUGGAUUAAUACCUCAUAGUAUAUAGACUCGGCAUCGAGAUUAUAUUAAAGUCACAACGGUAAAAGAUGAGCAUGCGUCCCAUUAGCUAGUUGGUAAGGUAGCGGCUUACCAAGGCUACGAUGGGUAGGGGUCCUGAGAGGGAGAUCCCCCACACUGGUACUGAGACACGGACCAGACUCCUACGGGAGGCAGCAGUGAGGAAUAUUGGACAAUGGGCGCAAGCCUGAUCCAGCCAUGCCGCGUGCAGGAUGACGGUCCUAUGGAUUGUAAACUGCUUUUAUACGAGAAGAAACACUGCUACGUGUAGCAGCUUGACGGUAUCGUAAGAAUAAGGAUCGGCUAACUCCGUG